GCCGGGUUAGCUCAGUUGGUUAAGGCGCCGCAUUGCGGAGCAGUGGUGACCUCCACGGCGCGGGUUCGAUCCCCGGUCAUACCAACCGGCA